rnacentral:rRNA from 1 species
CCUACGGGAGGCAGCAGUCGAGAAUCAUUCACAAUGGGGGAAACCCUGAUGGUGCGACGCCGCGUGGGGGAAUGAAGGUCUUCGGAUUGUAAACCCCUGUCAUGUGGGAGCAAAUUAAAAAGAUAGUACCAUAAGAGGAAGAGACGGCUAACUCUGUGCCAGCAGCCGCGGUAAUACAGAGGUCUCAAGCGUUGUUCGGAAUCACUGGGCGUAAAGCGUGCGUAGGCUGUUUAGUAAGUCGGGUGUGAAGUGCGGGGGCUCAACCCGCGGACGGCACAUGAUACUGGGAGACUGGAGUAAGGGAGGGGGAACUGGAAUUCUCGGUGUAGGAGUGAAAUGCGUAGAUAUCGAGAGGAACACUCGUGGCGAAGGCGAGUUCCUGGACAUUAACUGACGCUGAGGCACGAAGGCCAGGGGAGCGAAAGGGAUUAGAUACCCGUGUAGUC